CGUUAAAGUCAUAGCUGGAGGUUUACUGUGUGCAUUUAUCUGUUUAAUUGGAGUUUGUGGUGCAGUCAGCGUUUAAAAUGGCCUCUGCAGGAGGCGGUAAGGCGGAAGGCGAGAAGGAGUGCGGCUCUGACUGUUAGACCUCUUCCUGUGGUUACGUCACGUGGCUGUGGAGGCUUCAAAAGGAGACGACUUCUUCUUCGUCUUCAGCCACAUCUUGGACUCACAGAAGGCACCUGCCACGCUGCUGGAGAGAAAAAAAUACUUACUGAAAAAAUUGGGGCGGAAAAAACCUCCAAAAACAAAAAGCAGGCACGGCUCUUGUUUUAGGUACAGUAUGAUGGACUACAUGGAUUUUGUUUUUAUUUGUUUCGUUAGAAUUAUUAACAACAACUUCUUAACAAAUGAUCAAAGUGUUUUGUUGCUGUUAAACUGUGAAACUUAAACUUCCUUUAGUGCUUUAAGUUCUGGUAUUAUGUAUUUUCUUCAUUUAAUUGUGGUCCAGUUUGCAUCUUUUCAAGGUUUAAUUUUCAGAAUUUGUGUCAGAGGUGACGUAACGACUUUUCUCCUUUUUGUGUUUAAUGUAGAUGAAAUUGACGAGUUGUAAUUUUAUUUUGAAUUUCUUAUUUGAAAUGACCUGUGAAGCAGAUGUUCCUCAAACAGAAAAGCUUACUCAUGCUGAAUCAAAAUGGCGCCCAUAAGAUAGCGCUUCAGCCUACUUUUGCCUCAGACUUACAGGGUGGGUGCGGUACUUUGCUAAUUUUUGUUUUGUACCGAAAUGUUAAAAGGCCUCAUGUCAACUGGAGUAAAGCAUCUGAGAAAUAUGCAAAAAUGUAAACUCAAAUCAGGAAGUGUCCUUUUUCUGGUGUGAGGACUUAAGGCGGCUGCUGGAUGCACAGUGCAGUCAUCCAUAAAGUAGAAAGCACUACUAAACUCCUCGCCACAGUGUAGUGUUUCCUACUUUAUGGAUGAGUGUACUGUUGUCUACAGGGAGAAGACGUGCGACGAAAGUAAAAAAAAAAAAGAAAAGAGGAACCUGCUUGGUCUCACGUGGCUGCCCAUUGCCCAAAGUGUUGCUUCAUUCAGUUCACAUGGGCCAUGCGCGGCACAGAGCAAAGCUUGCAACUCUCCCAAACUGUCUGAAAAGCAUAAUAUCAUCUGCAUACAAUGUGAUUCUUUAUAAUGAACAAUAAAGUUUGAAAAAUAAAAGUG